GGAACUAAAACACAGCAACUUAUCUUGAGUUUUCUACAAAGAAAAUAGCAAGAAAGACUGCUGGAUUUUAACCA
rnacentral:tRNA from 1 species